rnacentral:rRNA from 1 species
GACGAACCGUGCGAACGUUGUUCGGAAUCACUGGGCUUAAAGGGCGCGUAGGCGGACAGUCAAGUCAGGGGUGAAAUCCCACGGCUCAACCGUGGAAGUGCCUUUGAUACUGACAGUCUCGAGGGAGGUAGGGCGUGCGGAACUUCCGGUGGAGCGGUGAAAUGCGUAGAUAUCGGAAGGAACGCCGGUGGCGAAAGCGGCGCGCUGGACCUUUUCUGACGCUGAGGCGCGAAAGCUAGGGGAGCAAACGGG